AGAGUUUGAUCCUGGCUCAGGACGAACGCUGGCGGCGUGCUUAACACAUGCAAGUCGAACGAGGUCCAUCCGGUAGAAAUACCGGUGAAGACCGAGUGGCGAACGGGUGCGUAACACGUGAGCAACCUGCCCCGAAGACCGGGAUAACAGCGGGAAACCGCUGCUAAUACCGGAUAUCCCCACCGGAUCGCAUGAUUUGAUGAGGAAAUGGAUUCCGCUUCGGGAGGGGCUCGCGGCCUAUCAGCUAGUUGGUGAGGUAACGGCCCACCAAGGCAUCGACGGGUAGCUGGUCUGAGAGGACGAUCAGCCACACUGGGACUGAGACACGGCCCAGACUCCUACGGGAGGCAGCAGUGGGGAAUCUUGCGCAAUGGGCGAAAGCCUGACGCAGCAACGCCGCGUGAGGGAUGACGGUCUUCGGAUUGUAAACCUCUUUCAAGCAGGGACGAUAAUGACGGUACCUGCAGAAGAAGCUCCGGCCAACUACGUGCCAGCAGCCGCGGUAAUACGUAGGGAGCGAGCGUUGUCCGGAAUCAUUGGGCGUAAAGAGCUCGUAGGCGGUUUGGUAAGUCGGAUGUGAAACCUCCAGGCUCAACCUGGAGCCGCCAUCCGAUACUGCCAUGACUAGAGUCCGGUAGGGGCCCACGGAACUCCUGGUGUAGCGGUGAAAUGCGCAGAUAUCAGGAAGAACACCGGUGGCGAAGGCGGUGGGCUGGGCCGGUACUGACGCUGAGGAGCGAAAGCGUGGGGAGCGAACAGGAUUAGAUACCCUGGUAGUCC
rnacentral:rRNA from 1 species